GAUGAACGCUGGCGGCGUGCCUAAUACAUGCAAGUCGAGCGAACGGACGAGAAGCUUGCUUCUCUGAUGUUAGCGGCGGACGGGUGAGUAACACGUGGAUAACCUACCUAUAAGACUGGGAUAACUUCGGGAAACCGGAGCUAAUACCGGAUAAUAUUUUGAACCGCAUGGUUCAAAAGUGAAAGACGGUCUUGCUGUCACUUAUAGAUGGAUCCGCGCUGCAUUAGCUAGUUGGUAAGGUAACGGCUUACCAAGGCAACGAUGCAUAGCCGACCUGAGAGGGUGAUCGGCCACACUGGAACUGGGGCACGGUCCAGACUCAUACGGGAGGCAGCAGGAGGGAGUCUUGCGCAAUGGGCGAAAGCCUGACGGAGCAACGCCGCGUGAGUGAUGAGGGUCUUCGGAUCGUAAAACUCUGUUAUUAGGGAAGAACAUAUGUGUAAGUAACUGUGAACAUCUUGACGGUACCUAAUCAGAAAGCCACGGCUAACUACGUG
rnacentral:rRNA from 1 species